GAGCUUGCAGCAUAUGAGCCUGAUUGGUACUACAUUAGAUCUGCAUCCAUGGCAAGGAAAAUCUACUUGAGGGGUGGUCUUGGUGUUGGUGCCUUCCGCAGGAUCUAUGGAGGGAGCAAGAGGAACUGAAGGGAAACAGAGAAUUACAACAGAGGUGCUGCGGUUGGAGAGAAACCAAUAAACUUUGGUAGAUUCCACAACAUCAGAGAUGGUAAUUUUCAAAACUAACAAGGUUAUAAAGAGAUAGUGACUCCAAAUUUGGAAAGAUAUAGCCAACAGUCACCAACAUGGAUGGUGUAGCUUUUCAACUUAUCCGACAACAAGUUGUUCGGAAGAAGGUUAGCAUCUGGAACGUGUAUGUUUAAUGCAGUUAGCUGAGACAAGUGCUUCAGCAUCAGGAACAUUAUUUCUUCCAUCGAUCAGACCUUCCACCCUCCCAUUGCUCAAUGCUGUUUAUUCCCAUUCUCAAGUCUUCUAGUCUUUUCAAGCUUGAUGAAACAUUAGGUGGAAUCAGUACAAUCUCAGAGAAACCACUCAAAUCUAAUUGUAGACGAGUCAGUUGCUCUGUUUCAUCAUGCAACUCUUUAACCUGGGAGUGGGCAAGGCAAGGCUAAGAAUUUUCAAGUUUCUUAGCUCUCCAACUAGAACAAUAUCCCCCAACACGCACUGAUCUAAGCACAAUGUUUGAAGAAUUGGUAGGUAUUUAAGAGAUGGAGAUAAUGAUGGAAAAUGAAGCACAGUUAAAUCCAACACUUUGAGCUCUUUCAUCUCUCCGCGAUUCUUCUUCGCAAAGUCAAGCUGAAAAUCUUUUUGGCUUGUCUGAAAACCUGUUUGGCAUCAAAUUAAAGGACAAAUGGAGCAUGAGUUCAAGUGACUCCUUAGGUUUGAAGGUUGCUUUUGUAGUGAAUCAGGUAUCCCACUUGACGUCCAACUGGAACAACUGUGUACUCAAUUAUUUUUCCAACGACCUUGGGAAUAAAUGAAGGUAAGACAAAACAACAUGCCACUUUCAGUUUAGUAAUAUAUCUGUUGAACAUAAACGAAGCCAAAAACAUGGAAAAAGAUCUAGAAAUUUAUGCAACAAAAUAAAAUGAAAAAUGGAAAGACAAGAAUAAAAUGUGAUUGACAUUGAAUAAUGAAACAAAAGACAUACCUUAGCUCGUGAGAGGGAGACGAACGGCAAAGAAGAAGAGAGUAUGUAACUUGUGAGAGUGAGAGUAACGGCAAAGUAAAAGCAAAGUGAAGGUGAACGACAACAGAAAUUGCAAAGUUGUGUUGUGAAAUGAAAUUAGAGGACAAAUGAAGAUAAGUGAAAUAAGUGUGGUUUACCGUAUUAAAACGAAGUCGGAUGAGUUGCUAUUCAAUAAUACGGUCUAGUUGUAUUUUUCUUCAUUUGUAAGCAAGGAGUCUUAGAUUCUAACUUCGUGAAUGAUGAUUGAUAAGUUUGAUACCAAUUUAUUCUUACCACCUUUAGUUAAUCUCUUUAUGGCCCGAUAUUAUUUUUAGUGAUGCUCAAUAUCCAUCUCAUUCUGCACCCCAAGUCCACUGUGAGAUAACUUGCAUAAGAAUCUUUUUUCUUCAAGCUCUCAAAAUUACUCCUUCCCUCCAUUGUAGAAAGAUGGCAAUGGUCGAGAUUUAACAAAGAGAGGUUUACGAUUCUCCAAUGAUGUUUUUUUAUAGGUUUGAUCAUGUAUAUGAGCAUUUGAUAGUGAAUACAUGUAUAGUGCUUCACAAUUGAAAAGAAGUGGAAUCUUAGUUUCAGGUAAUUACCGAGAUUUUUGUUGAUCCCCUUUUGUUGUGCUGCCAAUUUUGAGUUCCUAUCAUGUAAAUUGGUUGACUAAAAUGUUAGUGUAUGCAAAAAGGUUGUUGAUGCUGAUGGUUUUUUUCUGUAACUGAUUUAAGAGUUGCUAUUGUAUUCUUAGCAUAAACGUCAGACUGCCAAUGACAUCCUUUUGUUUUCUAUAGCUGCCAGUGUCUAAACCUCCAACAAAAUGGGAAACUUUUGCCAAAACAAAAGGGAUUUCCCUUGAGAGAUGGUUGUGUGAGACACUGAGAACCUAUAAAUUUGUGAGAUGUUCCAAGUCUGAAGGUAUCACUCUGGAGAGAGAAUUGCUGGGUCCAAGUUGUAACUCUGGAGUAAUUUACCAAUCUGUGCCGGUAUGUCACCAGUCAAGUGGAUCUGGCUCAAGUUUAGAAGCUGCUGUUUUGUCAUUUGUCCGAGCUCAGGUGGGAUUGGACCUGUAAUUUUAUUUCAACCCAUACGCAUUUUCCCCACUGUGGUCAGAGUGUACCAACAAACUGGAUCUCAUCAAGAGCAAUGAA